UAUUCGCUCCCUCGCGACACUAGGUUGGGAACCCCGCCAGGUCCGGAAGGAAGCAACGGUACCUUCUGAUGUGUGCGCCGAGGAUAGGUGGGUAGGG
rnacentral:SRP_RNA from 1 species